UACGGGGGGGGCAAGCGUUGUUCGGAAUUACUGGGCGUAAAGGGCUCGUAGGCGGCCAACUAAGUCGGAUGUGAAAUCCCCAGGCUUAACCUGGGAACUGCAUCCGAUACUGGAUGGCUUGAAUCCGGGAGAGGGAUGCAGAAUUCCAGGUGUAGCGGUGAAAUGCGUAGAUAUCUGGAGGAAUACCGGUGGCGAAGGCGGCAUCCUGGACCGGCAUUGACGCUGAGGAGCGAAAGCUAGGGGAGCAAACGGG
rnacentral:rRNA from 2 species